rnacentral:tRNA from 1 species
GGCGCAGUGGACGAAUCGGAAGAGUCGCCGCGCUUUCACCGCGGGUCGUUUGCGGGUUCGAAUCCCGUCUGCGCUA